rnacentral:rRNA from 1 species
AAACUAACAAGGAUUCCCCUAGUAACGGCGAGUGAAGCGGGAAGAGCUCAAAUUUGAAAUCUGGUGGCCUCAGGUCAUCCGAGUUGUAAUCUAUAGAAGUGUUUUCCGUGCUGGCUCAUGUACAAGUCCCUUGGAACAGGGCGUCAUAGAGGGUGAGAAUCCCGUCCUUGACAUGAACUACCAGUGCUCUGUGAUACAUUUUCAACGAGUCGAGUUGUUUGGGAAUGCAGCUCAAAAUGGGUGGUAAAUUCCAUCUAAAGCUAAAUAUUGGCGAGAGACCGAUAGCGAACAAGUACCGUGAGGGAAAGAUGAAAAGCACUUUGGAAAGAGAGUUAAACAGUAUGUGAAAUUGUUGAAAGGGAAACGAUUGAAGUCAGUCGUGCUCUUUGGAUUCAGCCGGUUCUGCCGGUGUACUUCCUUUGAGUGGGGUCAACAUCAGUUUUGAUCGCUGGAUAAAGGCUGGAGGAAUGUAGUACCCUCGGGUAAACUUAUAGCCUCCUGUCACAUACAGUGGUUGGGACUGAGGAACGCAGCACGCCUUUAUGGCCGGGAUUCGUCCACGUACGUGCUUAGGAUGUUGACAUAAUGGCUUUAAACGAC